rnacentral:sRNA from 1 species
AUUAAAUAGAAAUGUAUAUGCAAAACAGCGAGAAAUUUGUAGAUACGUUGAAUGUUGUUGCUUUCACAUUUGCAACUCUUAGUAGUUGUUCAAAACAACAAUGUCGAGCAAAGAUGUUUGCGAUGUUUGAAUGAUUCUUGGAUUGUAUUUGGAUUCCAUCGGUACUAUGGCCUGUUGAUUCGGCACCUUUGUCAUUUUAGCAACUUUUGUUUUCUUUUCUGUGUCGAUGUAGUUCUCUAUACCAUAUUCAUGUUCAUAUCAAUGUCCAUAUCAAGGUCCAUAUCAAUGUCCAUAUCAAUUUCCCAUGUUCCAUUACAUAUCCCGUGUUCUUUCCUUCUUCCAGCUUUUACAUGCUAGCCUUUUAUACAAUGAUUCCUCUCAUCUCGACUCGCUUGAUGAAUGGGCGUUUAGUUUUUGCAACAACAUAUGCGUUGGGUUAUCUCAUAUCGGGAAACACUUUCUGCCACUUUUAACUUGAACAAAGUUGGAGAAAUAAAGUGAUGGCAGAUAUUGCAAGUUGUUUAUAGUGUGCCUGUAGAAAUGUAAAAACGCUAUGUUUCGUGAAUGCCCAGCCUGUAAAUCGAAAUAAGAUUUCGUAUUUAUUAAGCAUUGGAAGAUCACAAUUGGAAAAAACACGAUACGGUUGGUCUCUUCACAGUCGUUCUCCAGUAAUCACAAACAUGAAACCUAAAUAUACGGUAACUUUGCACCUAUUAGGACAACGCCUCAAGUGACUGCAUUAAAACAUAAUACCGAAGCACUGACNUAACAGAGAGGUUCAGAAAGGAAUUUAAAGAUGG